GGGCAUCUGGUGUAGUUGGUUAUCACAUCCGCUUAGCAUGCGGGAGGUCCCCGGUUCGAUUCCGGUGUUGUCCA
rfam:Lipomyces starkeyi NRRL Y-11557 unplaced genomic scaffold LIPSTscaffold_3, whole genome shotgun sequence.